rnacentral:rRNA from 1 species
GUGCCAGCAGCCGCGGUAACACCGGCGGCUCGAGUGGUAACCGUUAUUAUUGGGUCUAAAGGGUCUGUAGCCGGCCGGAUAAGUCUCUUGGGAAAUCCAGCAGCUCAACUGUUGGGCUUUCAGGAGAUACUGUCUGGCUCGAGGCCGGGAGAGGUGAGAGGUACUUCAGGGGUAGGGGUGAAAUCUUGUAAUCCUUGAAGGACCACCAGUGGCGAAGGCGUCUCACCAGAACGGACCUGACGGCAAGGGACGAAAGCUAGGGGCACGAACCGGAUUAGAUACCCCAGUAGUCC